ACGUUGCAGUGCCUGCCCCAGAGAGAACUGCAUGGACCAGGUUCUGCUGAAAGCUGGAAGCGGCCACUUCAACAUCACCCUCAGAAUGGAGCAUACUCAAGGGGAAGCCAAGCUGGAGUACAGAACAAUGAAAAGACUUGGUCUCAUCUGAAUCCAUGAACGCAGCUCUGUCUGAAAGUGAUUCUUCUGGAAUUUUCAAUGACUGGAG
rnacentral:lncRNA from 1 species